UGAGUAACACGUGAGCAACCUGCCUUACACACAGGAUACAUGAACGACUGCUAAUACCGGAUAAGACCACACUAUGGCAUCAUAGAGGGUCAAAGUGAUUUAGCGGUGUAAGAUGGGCUCGCGUCCAAUUAGCUAGUUGGUGAGGUAACGGCCCACCAAGGCGACGAUUGGUAGCCGACUUGAGAGAGUGAUCGGCCACACUGGAACUGAGACACGGUCCAGACUCCUACGGGAGGCAGCAGUGGGGAAUAUUGGGCAAUGGAGGAAACUCUUACCCAGCCAAUGCCGCGUGAGUGAUGAAGGUCUUUGGAUUGUAAAGCUCUUUGAUUGGGGACGAAUAAAUGACGGUACCCAAAGAACAAGCCCCGGCUAACUAUGUGCCAGCCGCAGC
rnacentral:rRNA from 1 species